rnacentral:rRNA from 1 species
CCUACGGGUGGCAGCAGUGGGGAAUCUUGCGCAAUGGGCGAAAGCCUGACGCAGCGACGCCGCGUGAGGGAUGAAGGUCUUCGGAUCGUAAACCUCUGUCAGCAGGGAAGAACGGUCACUGUGCUAAUCAGCAGUGAAUUGACGGUACCUGCAAAGGAAGCAACGGCUAACUCCGUGCCAGCAGCCGCGGUAAUACGUAGGGGGCGAGCGUUGACCGGAAUUAUUGGGCGUAAAGCGAGCGUAGGCGGUAUGUGAAGUCAAUGGUGAAAGCCCCGGGCUCAACGGGGGAAGGGCCUUGGAAACUGGGAGACUGGAGUGUGUGAGAGGAGAGUGGAAGUCCAGGUGUAGGAGUGAAAUCCGUAGAUAUCUGGAGGAACACCAGUGGCGAAGGCGACUAUCUGGCACAUAACUGACGCUGAGGAGCGAAAGCGUGGGUAGCAAACAGGAUUAGAUACCCGGGUAGUC